rnacentral:rRNA from 1 species
CCCUAGUAACGGCGAGUGAAAGCGGCACAGCUCACAUUUGAAAUCUGGCGCAAGCCCGAGUUGUAAUUUGUAGAGGAUGUUUCUGGCGACGUACCUUCCGAGUUCCCUGGAACGGGACGCCAUAGAGGGUGAGAGCCCCGUACGGUUGGUUGCCUAGCCUUUGUGAAACUCCUUCGACGAGUCGAGUAGUUUGGGAAUGCUGCUCUAAAUGGGAGGUAUACGUCUUCUAAAGCUAAAUACCGGCCAGAGACCGAUAGCGCACAAGUAGAGUGAUCGAAAGAUGAAAAGCACUUUGAAAAGAGGGUUAAAUAGUACGUGAAAUUGUUGAAAGGGAAGCGUUUAUGACCAGACUUGGGUAGGUUGAUCAUCCGUGGUUCUCCGCGGUGCACUCUGCCUGCCUAGGCCAGCAUCAGUUCAGUUCGGGGGAUAAAGGCUUCGGGAAUGUAGCUCCCUCGGGAGUGUUAUAGACCGUUGCGUAAUACCCUGAUCUGGACUGAGGUUCGCGCACUGCAAGGAUGCUGGCGUAAUGGUCAUCAGCGACCCGUCUUGAAACACGGACCAAGGAGUCGUCUUCGUAUGCGAGUGUUCGGGUGUCA